rnacentral:lncRNA from 1 species
GCAAUCCCACGGCCUCGUAUUCACAUCUUUUUGCUUUCCUUUCUCGUCUGAAAAUGGGGAAAAUUUUGAUUUUAGGAUCAAUACUUCCUCUGAUCCAGCUCGAGGGGGACAACUGGAUUGCAGCGGGAGCCAAGAACCCAGAUGGUCUCUUUUGUGAGGAGUAGCCUAUCCUUUCUCCCCUCUUCCCCCUGGAUUGUUUGCACCAUGUAGUAUAAUGUCUCGGGUCAGGAUGGCGUGUCAACACGCGUGUGGGCAUGGCAUUGCUGUGCGUUGUCGUGACAUCUAAAACCUCCUUCUUCU